UAAUUAAUUCACAUUUGUAUUUAAUUUCAUUUCUGUUACAAUUAGAUUUUUGUAGUCAUGUUAUCUCACUAUUUAUAGUACCAGAAAUACUUGCAUCUAGUAUUUGCUACCAGUACGGGUUAACAAUAAGAAUGGUGCAAUUUUAUAAUGAAUUAUGAAAAAUUAAAUUCUCCUACCAGAUCUAUUUUGAACCCAACAUUGAUUGUUAGAUAAGAUUGCCUUUGUGGAAGGUAUUUUCUAAACAUGUGUUCUGUCUAAACUCUUAAGUGCUAUAUUGUAUUCACAGUGCUAUACAUGUUUAUUGUGGGGGUGAUAGAAGUAAUGUAAUUCACUUUGCGUUACAAGUUUUCAGCCUUGACCUAUUUUACCAAUAUUUUUCGGCUACAACAAUUGUGGGGGCAAUAAUGCAUUGUAGGAAUCAAAUAUUUAUUCUUUGUUUUAAAUGUAUUUACAAGUGUUCAAUGCAAAAUAUUUUGAUAUAGUACAGAAGUUGUCAUUUCAAGAUAUAUAUAUUGCAAAAAAAUGCUGCAAAUAAAUGUCUCAGAAAGUGGAGGUAAAAAAAAGGCCUUCCAAAAUGAAAACAACUCUAGAAAUCAAAGUUAUUUGAUAUUUAAAUUUUGAAUUGGUUUAUUUUGUUCAGAACAACAUAAUUUUUAGGUUAAAAAUGUUAUUGAUAAAUGAUUUUUUGUUCUGAUUAUUAAAUGGAGUACAGUAUAAUUCACUUACAAGACAAUUUAGUUAUUAUUAGUCAUACUCACUUGCAUUGUGUCUAGUAAAUUGACAGAAAGAUUUAAAACCUUCAAUAUACCUAAAUACAGAAUGAAUCAUUCACAGUUGCAGAGUCACCACAAGACUUGACAUGUUAUGUAAACUGUAGUUUAUUUAAUCUCUGACAUUAUUAGAAUGUUUGUGUUUAGUGUUAAAGCAUUUUUUUCCACUAAUUUCAUGGUGUUCAUACUUGCUCUGCUUCAACAAUGUUCAAAAAUUUAACAGUGUAUAUUCAAAAAGCACAUUACAGAGUACAAAAAUGUAGUUUGGAAAACAAAUAUGGAAAUCCUGAAACUACAACAGCUCAAAUGGGAGUCUGUUCAAUGGAAAUCCAGAAACUGGAAAUGCACAAAAAGGAAUCAUUUAAACAGAAAUACUGAAAUUAAAAAGGCACAAAAAGGGAUCUUUAAAAAGAAAUCCUGACAUUAGACAUGUUAGAAAAGCACAAAUAGUGAUCUGUUAAACAAAUUGUACUCAUAGACAUGAUAGAAUAAUUUAUGUUAUUGUUUGUCCUGUGUAAUGCAGUUGAUGCUUGUAUUAAGUGUAUUGUUGAUUGUUAAUAAAGUAUUUGAAUU
rnacentral:lncRNA from 1 species